UUCUGCUUUGCUUUCAGCUGCUCUACUAUGGACGAUUCCACCCUACUCAGCCCACACCCGGCGGGCCCACUACUCCCGUCAAGCAAGCUCGGCCGCAGAAACUCCAUUUCCACAUCCGUGGUGGUCCCCGCCAAGCUCAGCCUCCUCUCCGACACCACCACUCCCACCUCAGCGACCAAGCAUCUCCAGCGCCUCCACAGCUCCACCUUCCCAAACGGCGACGUUUCGCCCCCAGCACCGCCUCAACUGGACCUGGAGUUCCUCUCCCUCAAGAGCUCCGAAUCCUACACUUCUCUCAAAGACCUGCUCCCCUCCUCCGCCGUUAACUCCCCCACCGCCGCCUCCGCCAACAACUCCGGCUACGAAAUCUCCAUCCGCAACCGCCUCGUGAAGCAGGCCGCCUGGGCCUACCUCCAGCCCAUGUCCUCCACCUCCGGCCCAUCGGGCCCAAACUUCCUCCGCCGCCUCUGCCAAAAGCUCUCCCCCUGCCUCUCCUUCUUCACCAACCGCGUCGUCCCCUUCCUCUCCCGAGUUCUCGGCCGCACACUCCUCUAACGCCUGAGCCGGAGCUUCUCAGUCAACUCGUCAACCUGCCCACCAUCCGUUUGAUGUCGGGGAUGAACCACCUUGGGGGACCUCGGAGUCUCAGACAUAGCGCGGUUGAUUGUGGUGGCUCUGCCAUUUGGUGUUGCUGUUGGGGAUUCUGGCUGCCACUUGUUCUUCCCGCUCGGUUUACGUACCGGCGGUGCUGGCGCUGCUGUAUCCUGCUGAUCAUCAUCGACUGUCUGCGACUGCGAGGUAAACAAACGACUGAACGUGCGGUCAAGGAUUCUGGGGCAGACAUACUAAACUUCGACCGAUACUAGCAAAACCCGAGAAUUGUAUUGCAUUGUGAAUGCGGCGUACCUCGGUGGUGGGUUUGGUGGCGAACUUUGUGGAGUUAGCAGCCAUGUACCGAAGGGCUUGGAGGAAAGCAGCGUGGCCAUAUUGGGCGAAGUUCUGCCAGUAGAGUACCGUCAAAUCCCAGGCUCUUGCUCUCAUCUCCAGUAACUUCCUGUCUAUGUCUGUCUCAUGCUUUGCUACAUAUGGCCUCAGGAAGGUCUUGUACACAAAGAAAGUUCCCUGCAACCGCAUUUCAAACGCCAUUCCAAUGAGUCAAAUUGAAAAUCCGUGCAACCGUCUUUAUGUUGUCAGACUGUGAAUGUGGACCUCUAAUCAGGUUAAUUGUUAUCUUAAUGUUCGUGUAGUCGGUCGGUCUUAUAGUCUGCUAGCAUAAGUCUAGCACAACGUUUGCACAUUUCAAAUUGUCAUGUUAUGUUGUCAGACUAUGAAUAUAAGUAUUGCCUAAAUAUUGAUGGAA